rnacentral:rRNA from 1 species
GACGUAGGUGGCAAGCGUUGUCCGGAGUUAUUGGGCGUAAAGCGCGCGCAGGCGGUUCGGUAAGUCCAUGGUGAAAGCGCCCGGCUCAACUGGGCGAGUGCCGUGGGGACUGCCGAGCUGGAGGGGAGCAGAGGCGAGUGGAAUUCCGGGUGUAGUGGUGAAAUGCGUAGAGAUCCGGAGGAACACCAGUGGCGAAGGCGGGUCUCUGGGCCGAUACUGACGCUGAGGAGCGAAAGCGUGGGGAGCGAACAGG